UUCCCUCUCCGGUCAGGCGUGGGCUGCAGAUCCAACUAGCACACUCAAGUCCCUUGCUCGGAGCUGCGGCGCCGCGUUUUGUGCAGAUACCCUUCCCAGACCGACUUUCCGAAGGGACAGGAAAUCCACCCUCUGAAGGCCAGUUGCCUAUGAGGAAGAUAGAAGCGCCUAGAAACGGCAUUGAUUUAGACAUCAAUCCUGACCUCCUCCCUCGUCCCUCCUACUCCUCCCCACUGGCUGGGCCGCGCCACCCCCUCCUUGUGAAGGAAACCUUCCCCAGCCGGAUUCGGCUGGCUGGCAAUCAGACCCGCUCACUCAAGCCCCUACAGACUGCACAUCAACCCCCGACAGCCUGCAUGCCUGCCCCCAGGGUCUCCAACCUACCUCCACGGAGUCACACCCCUCCCCCGACUCCAUGUCCACCAUGACCUGCAUACCAGCCACCCCCACAACCUUGAUACCCCAGCCCCAAGGACCUCUGGCCUCCGAUCACCCUCAGGCUGGAGGCCAGCGCCCAGGGCCUCCGUGCCGGGUCCCUACGGUAUUGGCCUUCUGAAGAAUGCGGAAGAAUGCGGGGCUUCUUAAGUUCUGGCGUCCAGCCUGGCUCCUGUGCACCAACGCCCCCACACCAAUCCCCAGAGCCUCCAACGCCCUCCUAGUUGAUCUCCAACCUCACCCCCACCGUCUGGACUCACUCCCUGCGGUCUCGAUCUCUCAUCUCCAGCCCACUCGGUAGGCCUCCACGCUUGGGCCGCCCAAACAGUCGGCUCCACGUCGGGCGUUCAGCGGUGCAAACGCUACGUCCUUGGGGCCAACAGGUCUCCCCAGCCCUCCAGUUCACAGGGUGGCCGGUUGGUUCGCUCUGCCCGGGGUUCUUCGGAACUCAGUUUUCUUCUCGGCAGUCCUACCAUUUAAGGCCGGCCAGGGAGCACUCUGGCUCACAGUGAAAGUCCGGCUUCUAGAAUGACCACAGCCCCCUGGCCACCUGCAACUCGCAGGACCGCCAGUGUUGAUUUCAAAUUACAAGCGUUUGCAAGCAAAAACGAUUCAGAAUUCUUAAGGUGACAUCGAGACAACUUUGCAGUCAUGAAAUUCUCCUAAAACAACCUCACAGUGCUUUGUGCCUUUUAAUAGUGUUGGCUCGAAAGAU
rnacentral:lncRNA from 1 species